CAGGAGGCACUUUCUGCCUUGAUUCAGAGCAUUUAAGAUGCGUGCAGGGUGCAAGGAAGGUGCAUGUCCCUCCGUUGGGCCAGGUGCUCGGCUCUGCCCUGGCUUCCCAGGAGCUCCGUGCCAUGGCCACGGCCGUGUCCUCCCCAGCAGACGGCACCCCAGCGCCUCUCCAGCUCCCUCCUGGAAGCAGAGCCAGCAGUGUUUGCCUGGAUUAAAAUAGCACACAGAUUUACCGUGCUUUUGUUUUUAAACGCUUGACUGCAUUAGCAUUGAUUUAUUUUUAAUACAACCAACCACCUGCGAUUUGACCGUUACUUUUAUUCGUUCCCUUUGACGACUGUACUUGCAGCGUGGUUCUUCAGCAGCCCCCAGCCCUGACACCCCAGGCAGCACCAGGUAGUGGUGGCAGGGAGCAGUGGGCAUCUGCGACACGCUGCUCUGUCCCCAGUGCCACCGAGCAGCUCCUUUACUCACUGUCCGCAUGUGGCCGCACAUCUCGUAUGGGCUAAGGAGAAGGAAAAAGUGUUUUCUUUUUGAUCUCAGCAGGCCUUCAUCAUCCUCUGCAAGGAGCACCGUGGACACUUCCCUACCGGCCUGCAGGGCUGGGAAGAGAGCAGCAAGGCUCAAGGACGCCGCAUCUUUCCUCUAAUACAGACAAAUGAGUUUGCUUCCCCCUGCUGUCAGCUGAGGACAGCGUUUUGGUUUUGAGCCUUCCCCGCGAUGGACUGGAGGUGCAAGCGCUCAGCAGCCAGAACCCAGGCUGGAGCUUCAGGCCAGGCCAGGCUUGGGGAGCAGAGAGGGGAAGGCGGUGUUUCUGCCACCAGCAAACCGCCUUUUGAUCAUGACUCCUUGAAAGCAAGUUUCCACCAUCCGAACUCAGCCCUGACAAGCGCUUCUGCAGCACCCAACAACUGCAGCUGC